AUGCUGGUUUCUGUCACCCUCCUCCUUGCCUCCCUGUUCCCUGCAGGCCAGACAGAGGUCACUAUGGACAAGCCAAUGGUCUCCAUCACCAAACGGACUGGAACAUUAGCAUCAUUUUUCUGUGAGUUUUCCAAAGAAGGCAUCAGCUACAUCCACUGGUAUCUCCAGCAGCCUGGGAAGGCUCCCCAGCGCCUGCUCUACUGUAACACAGCCACAUCUCAACCCACGCUGGAUGCAGGAUUCAGCGCCAGUAAAUUUUCUACUUUCAAGAGCAAUGAUCCAAGCUGUACCCUGAAAGUACGGAAAGUGAGCAUUAGUGAAGCCGGCAUCUAUUACUGUGCCAGCUGGGACUCCACAGCUCCUUGGCAAGCUAAGCUUGGCCCCAGUUUGUUUUUUGGAGCAAACAGGUCCAUCCUGCAGCUCUUCAGUCACAAGAAGCCCAGCCAAUCAGCAGAGUGA